GUCUUUGUAGUAUAAUCAUUACCCCGGCCUUGUAAACCGAAAAUGAGGUACUUCACCUCCAAAGACA
rnacentral:tRNA from 1 species